AUACGGAGGGGGCAAGCGUUGUUCGGAAUUACUGGGCGUAAAGGGCGUGUAGGCGGUUAGGUAAGUCAGUUGUGAAAGCCCCGAGCUUAACUUGGGAAUUGCAACUGAAACUGCCUAGCUAGAGUUUUGGAGAGGAAAGCGGAACUCCCAGUGUAGCGGUGAAAUGCGUAGAUAUUGGGAGGAACACCGGUGGCGAAGGCGGCUUUCUGGACAAAAACUGACGCUGAGGCGCGAAAGCUAGGGGAGCAAACGGGAUUAGAUACCCCGGUAGUCCUAGCUGUAAACGAUGGAUACUGGGUGUUGAAGGUAUUGAGUCCUUCAGUGCCGAAGCUAACGCAUUAAGUAUCCCGCCUGGGGAGUACGGUCGCAAGACUGAA
rnacentral:rRNA from 1 species